GAUGAACGCUGGCGGCGUGCCUAAUACAUGCAAGUCGAGCGAACAGACGAGGCGCUUGCUCCUCUGACGUUAGCGGCGGACGUGUGAGUAACACGUGGAUAACCUACCUAUAAGACUGGUAUAACUUCGGGAAACCGGAGCUAAUACCGGAUAAUAUAUUGAACCGCAUGGUUCAAUAGUGAAAGACGGUGUUGCUGUCACUUAUAGAUGGAUCCCCGCCGCAUUAGCUAGUUGGUAAGGUAACGGCUUACCAAGGCAACGAUGCGUAGCCGACCGGAGAGGCUGAUCGGCCACAUUGGAACGGGGACGCGGUCCAGACGCCUACGGGAGGCAGCAGUAGGGAAUCUGCCGCAAUAGGCGAAAGCCUGACGGAGCAACGCCGCGCGAGUGAUGAAGGUCUUCGGAUCGUAAAACUCUGUUAUUAGGGAAGAACAAAUGUGUAAGUAACUAUGCACGUCUUGACGGUACCUAAUCAGAAAGCCACGGCUAACUACGUG
rnacentral:rRNA from 1 species